GAAUGUUACUGAUGAUGAUGAUGAUGAUGAUGAUGAUGAUGAUGAUGAUGAUGAUGAUCAUCAUCAUCAUCAUCAUCAUCAUCAUCAUCAUCAUGA
rnacentral:pre_miRNA from 1 species